rnacentral:rRNA from 1 species
CACGUAGGGGGGCGAGCGUUUGUCCGGAUUUAUUGGGCGUAAAGAGCUCGUAGGCGGCUCGGUAAGUCGGGUGUGAAAUCCCCCGGGCUCAACCUGGGAACUGCAUCCGAAACUGCCUUGCUAGAGUAUGGGAGAGGGAAGUGGAAUUUCCGGUGUAGUGGUGAAAUGCGUAGAUAUCGGAAGGAACAUCAGUGGCGAAAGCGACUUCCUGGACCAAUACUGACGCUCAUGUGCGAAAGCGUGGGGAGCAAACAGG